rnacentral:rRNA from 1 species
UACGAAGGGGGCUAGCGUUGCUCGGAAUCACUGGGCGUAAAGGGUGCGUAGGCGGGGCUUUAAGUCAGGGGUGAAAUCCCGGAGCUCAACUCCAGAACUGCCUUUGAUACUGAGGAUCUUGAGUUCGGGAGAGGUGAGUGGAACUGCGAGUGUAGAGGUGAAAUUCGUAGAUAUUCGCAAGAACACCAGUGGCGAAGGCGGCUCACUGGCCCGGUACUGACGCUGAGGUGCGAAAGCGUGGGGAGCAAACAGG